AUCCAGCCGACGAGUCCUAAAUAGGACGAAGUAUCGCCCAUCCUGGAU
rnacentral:hammerhead_ribozyme from 1 species